rnacentral:tRNA from 1 species
ACCCGGUUAGCUGAGACGGUAGAGCGCGGGACUUUUAAUCCUGAGGUCGAGGGUUCAAGUCCCUCAUCGGGCG